ACCUGGAGGCUUAGUUGGAAAAGCAUGAGAUUCUUGAUCUCAGGGCUGUGAGUUCAAGACCCACAUUGGGUG
rnacentral:tRNA from 1 species